UACGUAGGGGGCAAGCGUUGUCCGGAAUCAUUGGGCGUAAAGAGCGCGUAGGCGGCCCAGUAAGUCCGCUCUGAAAGUCAGAGGCUCAACCUCUGAAUGCGGGUGGAUACUGCUGGGCUAGAGUCCGGAAGAGGCGAGUGGAAUUCCUGGUGUAGCGGUGAAAUGCGCAGAUAUCAGGAGGAACACCCGUGGCGAAAGCGGCUCUCUGGGACGGUACUGACGCUGAGACGCGAAAGCGUGGGGAGCAAACAGG
rnacentral:rRNA from 1 species